GACGAACGCUGGCGGCGUGCCUAAUACAUGCAAGUCGAGCGGACAGAUGGGAGCUUGCUCCCUGAAGUCAGCGGCGGACGGGUGAGUAACACGUGGGCAACCUGCCCUUGAGAUCGGGAUAACUUCGGGAAACCGGAGCUAAUACCGGAUAGGUCUUUCCCUCGCAUGAGGGAAAGAGGAAAGACGGUUUCGGCUGUCACUCAAGGAUGGGCCCGCGGCGCAUUAGCUAGUUGGUGGGGUAACGGCUCACCAAGGCCAAGAUGCGUAGCCGACCUGAAAGGGUGAUCGGCCACAAUGGGACUGAGCAACGGCCCAGACUCCUACGGGAGGCAGAGGUAGGGAAGCUUCCGCAGUGGACGAAAGUCUGACGGACCAACGCCGAGUGAGUGAAGAAGGUUUUCGGAUCGUAAAACUCUGUUGUCAGGGAAGAACAAGUGCCAUGGUAAUUGAUGGAACCUUGACGGUACCUGGCCAGAAAGCCACGGCUAACUACGUGCCAGCAGCCUCCGUAAUAC
rnacentral:rRNA from 1 species